GCCCAAUUAGCAUAGUAGUAAUGCGGCUGUUUUGUAAUCAGCAUACGAUAGUGCAAUUCUUUCAUUGGGCC
rnacentral:tRNA from 1 species